GGCCUAACACAUGCAAGUCGAACGGUAACAGGAAGCAGCUUGCUGCUUCGCUGACGAGUGGCGGACGGGUGAGUAAUGUCUGGGAAACUGCCUGAUGGAGGGGGAUAACUACUGGAAACGGUGGCUAAUACCGCAUAACGUCGCAAGACCAAAGAGGGGGACCUUCGGGCCUCUUGCCAUCAGAUGUGCCCAGAUGGGAUUAGCUAGUUGGUGAGGUAACGGCUCACCAAGGCGACGAUCCCUAGCUGGUCUGAGAGGAUGACCAGCCACACUGGAACUGAGACACGGUCCAGACUCCUACGGGAGGCAGCAGUGGGGAAUAUUGCACAAUGGGCGCAAGCCUGAUGCAGCCAUGCCGCGUGUAUGAAGAAGGCCUUCGGGUUGUAAAGUACUUUCAGCGGGGAGGAAGGUGUUGUGGUUAAUAACCGCAGCAAUUGACGUUACCCGCAGAAGAAGCACCGGCUAACUCCGUGCCAGCAGCCGCGGUAAUACGGAGGGUGCAAGCGUUAAUCGGAAUUACUGGGCGUAAAGCGCACGCAGGCGGUCUGUCAAGUCGGAUGUGAAAUCCCCGGGCUCAACCUGGGAACUGCAUUCGAAACUGGCAGGCUUGAGUCUUGUAGAGGGGGGUAGAAUUCCAGGUGUAGCGGUGAAAUGCGUAGAGAUCUGGAGGAAUACCGGUGGCGAAGGCGGCCCCCUGGACAAAGACUGACGCUCAGGUGCGAAAGCGUGGGGAGCAAACAGGAUUAGAUACCCUGGUAGUCCACGCCGUAAACGAUGUCUACUUGGAGGUUGUGCCCUUGAGGCGUGGCUUCCGGAGCUAACGCGUUAAGUAGACCGCCUGGGGAGUACGGCCGCAAGGUUAAAACUCAAAUGAAUUGACGGGGGCCCGCACAAGCGGUGGAGCAUGUGGUUUAAUUCGAUGCAACGCGAAGAACCUUACCUGGUCUUGACAUCCACAGAAGAAUCCAGAGAUGGAUUUGUGCCUUCGGGAACUGUGAGACAGGUGCUGCAUGGCUGUCGUCAGCUCGUGUUGUGAAAUGUUGGGUUAAGUCCCGCAACGAGCGCAAC
rnacentral:rRNA from 1 species